GCUGAUAUAGCUCAAUUGGUAGAGCAGCUGACUUGUAAUCAGCAGGUUAAGAGUUCAAUUCUCUUUAUCAGCU
rnacentral:tRNA from 1 species